AUUGAACGCUGGCGGCAUGCUUUACACAUGCAAGUCGAACGGACUUAGGUGCUUGCACCUAGGUUAGUGGCGAACGGGUGAGUAAUGCAUCGGAACGUACCGUGUAAUGGGGGAUAACGCAGCGAAAGUUGUGCUAAUACCGCAUACGAUCUACGGAUGAAAGCAGGGGAUCGCAAGACCUUGCGUUAUACGAGCGGCCGAUGUCGGAUUAGCUAGUUGGUAGGGUAAAGGCCUACCAAGGCAACGAUCCGUAGCGGGUCUGAGAGGAUGAUCCGCCACACUGGGACUGAGACACGGCCCAGACUCCUACGGGAGGCAGCAGUGGGGAAUUUUGGACAAUGGGGGCAACCCUGAUCCAGCCAUGCCGCGUGAGUG
rnacentral:rRNA from 1 species